CUUGGUCAUUUAGAGGAAGUAAAAGUCGUAACAAGGUUUCCGUAGGUGAACCUGCGGAAGGAUCAUUCACAAACGAGUGUUUUAUGGCACUCUUUAAAAAUCCAUAUCCACCUUGUGUGCAAUGUUUGUUGGGAAAGUCUUUUCUUUCCCUUCAUAAAUAUCAACCUAUAUCUUUAACAACAUUCGUCUGAUAACAUAUUAUGAAUAUACUUAAUUCAAAAUAUAACUUUCAACAACGGAUCUCUUGGCUCUCGCAUCGAUGAAGAACGCAGCGAAAUGCGACACGUAAUGUGAAUUGCAGAAUUCAGUGAAUCAUCGAAUCUUUGAACGCAUAUUGCGCUCUUUGGUAUCCCGAAGAGCAUGCUUGUUUGAGUAUCAGUAAACACCUCAACCUCUCUUUUUUGAUAAAAAAAAGGGAGGGUGGACUUGAGCUAUCCCAACGACCUUCACCGGUAGGCGGGCGGCUUGAAAUGCAGGUGCAGCUGGACUUUUAUCUGAGCUAAAAGCAUAUCUAUUUAGUCCUCGUCAAACAGGAUUAUUACUUUUGCUGCAGCUAACAUAAAGGAUAAUUGUCCUCUUUGCUGACUGAUGCAGGAUUUUACGACACUUUAUGUGUUGUUCAACUCGAUCUCAAAUCAAGUAAGACUACCCGCUGAACUUAAGCAUAUCAAUAAGCGGAGGAAAAGAAACUAACAAGGAUUCCCCUAGUAACGGCGAGUGAAGCGGGAUGAGCUCAAAUUUGAAAUCUGGCUGGUUUACUAGUCCGAGUUGUAAUUUAAAGAAGCGUUUUCGGUGGCAGCCUGGGUAUAAAUCCUUUGGAAUAGGGUAUCAUAGAGGGUGAGAAUCCCGUCUUUGACCUAGUGCAUGCUACUAUGUGAUACGUUUUCAAAGAGUCGAGUUGUUUGGGAAU
rnacentral:sRNA from 1 species